CUAUAUGUUAUUAAUCAAGCACUGCUAGUUGUUUCUUUUUGUUUUUCAAUGUAUUUCUUAUCAAUAAAAACAAAAAGAAACAACAACUAGCAAUACUUGAUUUAUAACAUA